rnacentral:rRNA from 1 species
AGUAAUGUAUGGGGAUCUGCCCGAUAGAGGGGGAUAACUACUGGAAACGGUGGCUAAUACCGCAUAAUGUCUACGGACCAAAGCAGGGGCUCUUCGGACCUUGCACUAUCGGAUGAACCCAUAUGGGAUUAGCUAGUAGGUGGGGUAAAGGCUCACCUAGGCGACGAUCUCUAGCUGGUCCGAGAGGAUGAUCAGCCACACUGGGACUGAGACACGGCCCAG